rnacentral:lncRNA from 1 species
AGGACCGCACCACCACCUAAAAUUGGAGAUUUUCAAUUGGAAAAUUUCAAAUUGGCAUCUUAUUGUGUUCAAAAGGGGGAGAUCGUAGUGUUUCAAAAAUGAUAUAUCAGAACCCUCUUGAACACUAAGAGGAGGAUCUCAUUAAGGGGGAGUUUUGUUUAAGUCAAAGGAAAAGCAUUUGAAACAGGGGGAGAAAAUUUUAAAUCUUGAAAAUGCUUUGCAAAACUCAUUCAUUUACCUUUGACUAUUUGCAAAAGAACUUUGAAAAGGAUUUACAAAAGAGUUUGCAAAAACAAAACAUAUGGUGCAAGCGUGGUCCAAAAUGGUAAAAACAAAGAAACAAUCCAUGCAUAUCUUGUAAGUAUUUAUAUUGGCUCAAUUCCAAGCAACCUUUGCACUUACAUUAUGCAAACUAGUUCAAUUAUGCACUUCUAUAUUUGCUUUGGUUUGUGUUGGCAUCAAUCACCAAAAAGGGGGAGAUUGAAAGGGAAUUAGGCUUACACCUAGUUCCUAAAUAAUUUUGGUGGUUGAAUUGCCCAACACAAAUAAUUGGACUAACUAGUCUGCUCUAGUGUACAAGUUAUACAGGUGCCAAAGGUUCACACUUAGCCAAUAAAAAGACCAAGUAUUGGGUUCAACAAAAGAGCAAAGGGACAACCGAAGGCACCUCUGGUCUGGCGCACCGGACUGUCCGGUGUGCCACCGGACAGUGUCCGGUGCACCACCGGACAUGUCCGGUGCACUAGAGGACUCCAACUCAAACUCAUCACCUUCGGGAAAAUCCAGAGGCAGCUCCACUAUAAUUCAUCGGACUGUCCGGUGUACACCGGACAUGUCCGGUGCUCCAAGGAAGAGCGGCCUCAGGAACUCGCCAGCUUCGGGAAACUGCAACAGCUGCUCCGCUAUAAUUCACCGGACAUGUCCGGUGUACACCGGACUGUCCGGUGUAACUGCGGGGCAACGGCUACUUGAAAGGGAAAUGUGCCUUUGGGCCAUUUCUAAGUAUUUUGGUGAUUGAGUGCAAACACAAGUGCUUAAAUGUGAAAAUAUGCCCAAGGAUGAUCAAAGUGCAAAUCACAAGUUAAGGUAUGUUUCUAAGCCUUAGUACAUUGGUUUUGUGUACUAAUAUAUUUGUCUAAGUGUUAGAAACAGAUAGAAGAAGAGAAGAGAAGACUUGGCUGUGUACAGCCAAGGGGCUGCUUCGGUCUGGGGCACCGGACUGUCCGGUGGUGCACCGGACAGUGUCCGGUGGUGCACCGGACAGUGUCCGGUGCGCCAGGCUGCCUCGGCCGAAGAGGCCGCUCUCGGGUUUUUCUCCGGCGACUUCGGCUAAAAUUCACCGGACUGUCCGGUGUGCACCGGACUGUCCGGUGAGCCAACGGUCGGCCGGGCCAGCGGUCGGCCGCGCGAUCGGCAAGCGACACGUGGCCGAGCCAACGGUCGGAAGGAAGCACCGGACUGUCCGGUGUGCACCGGACUGUCCGGUGCGCCAGAUCUGCAACGGUCGGCAACGGUCGGCUUCGCUUUUUAUGGAAACAAAUCGGGCACCGGACAGUGUCCGGUGUGCACCGGACUGUCCGGUGCGCCACGAGACAGAAGGCAAAGAUGGCCUUCCAGAUUUGUUCCCAACGGCUCCUAGCUGCCUUGGGGCUAUAAAAGGGACCCCUUGGCGCAUGGAGGAGUACACCAAGCAUUCCUACAACUCUUCUAAGCACCAAGACAUCAAUCUCACGCAUUCGUUUCAUUGUGAUAGCAUAUAGAGCUCUUGUGGAGUUGUGAACUCUUUGUGUUGCGUUGCGAGCCCUUGUUGCGACUUGUGUGCGUGUUGUUGCUCUGAUUUUCGAGUCUUGUGUGCGUUGCUCAUUCCCACCUUACUCCGUAUUCUUUGUGAACUCAAUUGUAAGGGCGAGAGACUCCAAGUUGUGGAGAUUCCUCGCAAACGGGAAAAGAUCAAAGGAAAGAAAAACACCGUGGUAUUCAAGUUGAUCAUUGGAUCACUUGAGAGGAGUUGAGUGCAACUCUCGUCCGUUGGGACGCCACAACGUGGAGUAGGCAAGUUUUGUACUUGGCCGAACCACGGGAUAACCACCGUGUCAACUCUGUGAUUGCUUUCUUGUGGUUAUCGUGUUUUGAGUUCUCUCUAGCCACUUGGCCAUACUUGUGCUAACCCUUAACAAGUUUUUGUGGCUUAAGUUUUGAACUUUUACAGGAUCACCUAUUCACCCCCCCCCCCCCCUCUAGGUGCUCUCAAUUGGUAUCAGAGCCAUUCUCUUCAAGAAAGGGACUAACCGCCCGAAGAGAUGGAUCCUAAGGGGAAGGGAAUUGUGAUCAACGACAAGGAGAAGGAGUCCUUCGUCAACGAGCCAAGGGAUGACAAGUCCAAUGACUCGGGCUCGGGCCACAAGCGAAGAGAUGGGAAGAAGAAGAAGACAAGACGCAUCAAGGAGAUCGUCUACUACGACAGCGAUGAGUCCUCUUCUUCCCAAAAGGACGACGACUACGACAAACAAAGGAAACCGGUUAAUUCUAACUUUUCUUUUGACUACUCUCGUAUUCCGCAUAGUUCAAAUUCACAUUUGCUUUCCAUUCCACUCGGCAAGCCCCCACACUUUGAUGGGGAGGACUACGGAUUUUGGAGCCACAAAAUGCGUAGUCACCUAUUCUCUCUCCAUCCUAGCAUAUGGGAGAUUGUAGAUAGUGGAAUGCACUUUAAUAGUUCGGAUAGUCCUAUAUUCAUUAAUGAGCAAAUCCAUAAGAAUGCACAAGCUACUACUGUUCUUCUAGCCUCAUUGUGCAGGGAUGAAUAUAAUAAAGUGAGUGGCUUGGAUAACGCCAAGCAAAUCUGGGAUACCCUCAAGAUCUCUCAUGAGGGAAAUGACGCUACCUUGCUCACCAAAAUGGAGUUGGUGGAGGGCGAGCUUGGACGGUUCGCGAUGAUAAGGGGCGAGGAGCCAACUCAAACAUACAACCGGCUCAAGACCCUUGUCAACAAAAUAAGGAGCUACGGAAGCACGCGAUGGACGGACCACGACGUCGUCCGACUAAUGCUCAGGUCCUUUACCGUUCUUGAUCCUCAUUUGGUGAAUAAUAUUCGUGAGAAUCCCAGGUACACCAAAAUGUCGCCCGAAGAAGUACUAGGAAAAUUCGUCAGCGGGCGAAUGAUGAUCAAGGAGGCAAGGUAUGUGGACGACGCCUUGAAUGGACCGAUCAACGAGCCGCAACCUUUUGCUCUCAAAGCCACAGGGAACAAGGAGGCGCUACCCAGCAAGGUGGCGCAAAUUGAGGCGGCCGGUCUUAAUGAAGAAGAAAUGGCCCUCAUUAUCAAGAGAUUCAAGACGGUGCUAAAGGGUCGCAAUGGACAGCCGAGCAAGACUAAGACCAAGGGGAAGCGAUCAUGCUUCAAAUGCGGUAAGCUUGGUCAUUUUAUUGCUAACUGUCCUGAUAAUGAUAGUGACCAGGAAAAGGGGAACAAGAGGGAAAAGAAGAAGCAUUACAAGAAGGCAAAGGGCGAGGCGCAUCUAGGCAAGGAGUGGGACUCGGAUUGCUCCUCGUCCGACUCCGACAAUGAAGGACUCGCCGCCACCGCCUUCAACAAAUCAACCCUCUUCCCCAACGAGCGUCACACAUGCCUUAUGGCAAGAGAGAAGAAGGUAUGUACUCGCAACUCUACCUAUGCUUCUUCAAGUGAGGACGAAUCUAGUGAUGAGGAUGAAGUAGAUUAUUCAUGUUUGUUCAAGGGCUUAGAUAGAUCUAAGAUAGACAAAAUUAAUGAAUUAAUUGAUGCCUUGAAUGAAAAGAAUAUACUUUUAGAAAAGCAAGAGGAUUUGUUGUAUGAAGAGCAUGAUAAAUUUGUUGAGGCACAAAAAUCCUAUGCUUUAGAAGUUAAGAGAAAUGAAAUGCUUUCUUUUGAACUAUCUACUUGUCAUGAAACCAUUUCUGCUUUGAAAGGUGUCAACAAUGAUUUAAAUGCUAAAUUAGAAGUAGCAAACAAAUCCAAUUCUUGUGUAGAACAUGUUGAAAUUUGUACUAGGUGUAAAGACUUUGACAUUAAUGCUUGUAGUGAACACCUAGUUUCAAUUUCCAAGCUUAAUGAUGAACUGGCUAGUCUUAAUGCUCAACUUAAGACUAGCAAGAAUGAUUUCGAUAAGCUAAAAUUUGCAAGGGAUGCCUACACAAUUGGUAGACACCCCUCAAUUAAGGAUGGACUUGGCUUCAAGAGAGAAGCUAAGAACUUAACAAGCCAUAAGGCUCCCAUUCCCGCCAAGGAGAAAGGGAAGGCCCCUAUGGCUACUAGUGCUAAAAGGAACCAUGCAUUUUUGUAUCAUGAUAGAAGACAAACUAGAAAUGUAAGUCAUGAUGCUUAUGAUUCAUAUGUUUAUGAUUCUCAUGCCAUGUUUGCUCCUAGUUCCUCUUAUGUGUAUGAUAGAAAUGUUACUAGGAGAAAUGUUGUUCCUAAAAGAGAUGCUAUUCAUCAUGUGCCUAGAAGGAAUGUUAUUCAUGCUCCUAGGAAAAUAGCAAAUGAACCUUCUACAAUUUAUUGUGCUUUGAAUGCUUCAUUUGCAAUUUGUAGAAAGGAUAGAAAAGUAAUUGCUAGGAAGUUAGGGGCAAAAUGCAAAGGUGAUAAAACUUGCAUUUGGGUCCCUAAGGAAAUUGUGACUAACCUUGUAGGACCCAACAAGAGUUGGGUACCUAAGUCCCAAGCCUAAAUUUGCCUUGCAGGUUUAUGCAUCCGGGGGUUCAAGCUGGAUUAUUGAUAGCGGAUGCACAAACCAUAUGACGGGGGAGAAGAAGAUGUUCACCUCCUACGUCAAGAAUAAGGAUUCCCAAGAUUCAAUCAUAUUCGGUGAUGGGAAUCAAGGCAAGGUAAAAGGGUUAGGUAAAAUUGCAAUUUCUAAUGAGCACUCUAUCUCUAAUGUGUUUUUAGUAGAGUCACUAGGAUAUAAUUUACUAUCUGUUAGUCAAUUGUGCAAUAUGGGAUAUAACUGUCUGUUCACAAAUAUAGAUGUGUCUGUCUUUAGAAGAAGUGAUGGUUCACUAGCUUUUAAGGGUGUAUUAGACGGCAAACUUUAUUUAGUUGAUUUUGCAAAAGAAGAGGCCAGUCUAGAUGCAUGCUUAAUGGCUAAGACUUGCAUGGGCUGGCUGUGGCAUCGCCGCUUAGCACAUGUGGGGAUGAAGAACCUUCACAAGCUUCUAAAGGGAGAACACGUGAUAGGUUUGACUAACGUUCAAUUCGAAAAAGAUAGACCUUGUGCAGCUUGUCAAGCAGGGAAACAGGUGGGAGGCUCUCAUCACACCAAAAAUGUGAUGACGACAUCAAGACCCUUGGAGAUGCUGCAUAUGGACCUUUUUGGACCCGUCGCCUAUCUGAGCAUAGGAGGAAGUAAGUAUGGUUUAGUUAUUGUUGAUGACUUUUCCCGCUUCACUUGGGUGUUCUUUUUGCAGGAUAAGUCUGAAACCCAAGGGACCCUCAAGCGCUUCCUCAGGAGGGCUCAAAAUGAGUUUGAGCUCAAAGUGAAAAAGAUAAGGAGCGACAACGGGUCCGAGUUCAAGAACCUUCAAGUGGAGGAGUUCCUUGAAGAGGAAGGGAUCAAGCACGAGUUCUCCGCUCCCUACACACCACAGCAAAAUGGUGUGGUAGAGAGGAAGAACAGGACGCUCAUCGACAUGGCGAGGACGAUGCUAGGAGAGUUCAAGACUCCCGAGUGCUUUUGGACGGAAGCCGUGAACACGGCUUGCCACGCCAUCAACAGGGUCUACCUUCAUCGCCUCCUCAAGAAGACGUCGUAUGAGCUACUAACCGGUAACAAACCCAAUGUAUCGUACUUUCGUGUAUUUGGGAGUAAAUGCUACAUUCUAGUGAAGAAGGGUAGAAAUUCUAAGUUUGCUCCCAAAGCUGUAGAAGGGUUUUUGUUAGGUUAUGACUCAAAUACAAAGGCGUAUAGAGUCUUCAACAAAUCAUCGGGUUUGGUUGAAGUCUCUAGCGACGUUGUAUUUGAUGAGACUAAUGGCUCUUCAAGAGAGCAAGCUGUUGAUUGUGAUGAUGUAGAUGAAGAAGAUGUUCCGACAGCCGCUAUACGAACCAUGGCGAUUGGAGAAGUGCGGCCACAGGAACAAGAUGAGCAAGAUCAACCCUCUUCCUCAAUUAUGGUGCAUCCCCCGACUCAAGACGAUGAACAGGUUCAUCAUAAGGAGGCGUGUGAUCAAGGGGGAGCACAAGAUGAUAACGUAAUGGAGGAAGAAGCGCAACCGGCACCUCCAACCCAAGUUCGAGCGAUGAUUCAAAGGGAUCAUCCCGUCGAUCAAAUUCUGGGUGACAUUAGCAAGGGAGUGACUACUCGAUCUCGAUUAGUUAAUUUUUGUGAACAUUACUCCUUUGUCUCUUCUAUUGAGCCUUUCAGGGUAGAAGAGGCCUUGCUAGAUCCGGACUGGGUGUUGGCCAUGCAAGAGGAGUUAAACAACUUCAAGCGCAAUGAAGUUUGGACACUGGUGCCUCGUCCGAAGCAAAAUGUUGUGGGAACCAAGUGGGUGUUCCGCAACAAACAGGACGAGCACGGGGUGGUGACGAGGAACAAGGCUCGACUUGUGGCAAAAGGUUAUGCCCAAGUCGCAGGUUUGGAUUUCGAGGAGACCUUUGCUCCUGUGGCUAGGCUAGAGUCAAUUCGAAUCUUGCUAGCAUAUGCCGCUCACCAUUCUUUCAGGUUGUAUCAAAUGGAUGUGAAGAGCGCUUUCCUCAACGGGCCAAUCAAGGAGGAGGUGUACGUGGAGCAACCCCCUGGCUUCGAGGAUGAACGGUACCCCGACCAUGUGUGUAAGCUCUUUAAGGCGCUCUAUGGACUUAAGCAAGCCCCAAGAGCAUGGUAUGAAUGCCUUAGAAACUUUUUACUUGCUAAUGCUUUCAAGGUUGGGAAGGCCGAUCCAACUCUUUUCACUAAGACAUGUGAUGGUGAUUUGUUUGUGUGCCAAAUUUAUGUUGAUGACAUAAUAUUUGGUUCUACUAACCAAAAGUCUUGUGAAGAGUUUAGCAGGGUGAUGACGCAGAAAUUCGAGAUGUCGAUGAUGGGCGAGUUGAACUACUUCCUUGGGUUCCAAGUGAAGCAACUCAAGGACGGCACCUUCAUCUCCCAAACGAAGUACACGCAAGAUCUGCUAAAGCGGUUUGGGAUGAAGGACGCCAAGCCCGCAAAGACUCCGAUGGGGACCGACGGACACACCGACCUCAACAAAGGAGGUAAGUCCGUUGAUCAAAAAGCAUACCGGUCAAUGAUAGGUUCUUUGCUUUAUUUAUGUGCUAGUAGACCGGAUAUUAUGCUUAGCGUAUGCAUGUGUGCUAGAUUUCAAUCCGAUCCUAAGGAGUGUCACUUAGUGGCGGUGAAGCGAAUUCUUAGAUAUUUGGUUGCUACGCCUUGCUUCGGGCUCUGGUAUCCAAAGGGGUCUACCUUUGACUUAGUUGGAUACUCAGACUCCGACUAUGCUGGAUGUAAGGUCGAUAGGAAGAGUACAUCGGGGACGUGCCAAUUCUUAGGAAGGUCCCUGGUGUCAUGGAACUCUAAGAAACAAACUUCCGUUGCCCUAUCCACCGCUGAGGCCGAGUAUGUUGCCGCAGGACAGUGUUGCGCGCAACUACUUUGGAUGAGGCAAACCCUCAGGGACUUUGGCUACAAUCUGAGCAAAGUCCCACUCCUAUGUGAUAAUGAGAGUGCUAUCCACAUGGCGGAAAAUCCUGUUGAACACAGCCGCACAAAGCACAUAGACAUCCGGCAUCACUUUUUGAGAGACCACCAGCAAAAGGGAGAUAUCGAAGUGUUUCAUGUUAGCACCGAGAACCAGCUAGCCGAUAUCUUCACUAAGCCUCUAGAUGAGAAGACCUUUUGCAGGUUGCGUAGUGAGCUAAAUGUCUUAGAUUCGCGGAACUUGGAUUGAAUUGUAGCAUACAUGUGUUUAUGCCUUUGAUCAUGCUCAUUCUGCAUUUUGUUGCUUAUUAUGGUGCUCAAGUUGUACAAACACUCCCUGGACCUCACAAGUCCGUUGCAAAGUGAUGCACAUGUUUAGGGGGAGAUGUGUUACAACUUGACCCUUUGAGACUAACCAUUUGCUUGAGUUUGCUUGAUUGAGUCUCGAAGGAGGAUUGAAAGGGAAAAGGUGGACUUGGAUCAUGAAAGACUUCCACUGCACUCCGAUGAGAGGGUAACGAAUUCCAAGUUCAUCUCAUGAAAUCUUAUUGCCAUUUGCUCUUAAUUGACGACUUUGGUGAGGCAAUGGGGUUAACAGGCCAAGAUUGAUCCCGUUUUGGUGCUUGAUGCCAAAGGGGGAGAAAAUAAAGGCCAAAGCGAUAAAUGGAUCAGCUACCACUUGAGAGAUUUUGAAAAUAGUAGAAUAGAGUUUUUGUUGUGUCAAAAGCUUUUAUUGUCUCUCUUGUCAAAAGUUGGCUUCUUGUGGGGAGAAGUAUUGAUUAUGGGAAAUAGGGGGAGUUUUUGAAAUCUUUGAUCAAUCUCUUUUGGAAUGACUCUCUUUAUACUUCAACAUGUGUGUUUGACUUAGAGAUAGAGAUUUGAGUUUGAUUUCAAAAACAAACCAAGUGGUGGCAAAGGAUGAUCCAUAUAUGCCAAAAUUGAAUAAAACCAAUUUGAGUUUUUAUUUAAAGUGAUUUUGCACUUGCUCUAGUUGCUUUAUAUUGUGUUGGCAUAAAUCACCAAAAAGGGGGAGAUUGAAAGGGAAAUGUGCCUUUGGGCCAUUUCUAAGUAUUUUGGUGAUUGAGUGCAAACACAAGUGCUUAAAUGUGAAAAUAUGCCCAAGGAUGAUCAAAGUGCAAAUCACAAGUUAAGGUAUGUUUCUAAGCCUUAGUACAUUGGUUUUGUGUACUAAUAUAUUUGUCUAAGUGUUAGAAACAGAUAGAAGAAGAGAAGAGAAGACUUGGCUGUGUACAGCCAAGGGGCUGCUUCGGUCUGGGGCACCGGACUGUCCGGUGGUGCACCGGACAGUGUCCGGUGGUGCACCGGACAGUGUCCGGUGCGCCAGGCUGCCUCGGCCGAAGAGGCCGCUCUCGGGUUUUUCUCCGGCGACUUCGGCUAAAAUUCACCGGACUGUCCGGUGUGCACCGGACUGUCCGGUGAGCCAACGGUCGGCCGGGCCAGCGGUCGGCCGCGCGAUCGGCAAGCGACACGUGGCCGAGCCAACGGUCGGAAGGAAGCACCGGACUGUCCGGUGUGCACCGGACUGUCCGGUGCGCCAGAUCUGCAACGGUCGGCAACGGUCGGCUUCGCUUUUUAUGGAAACAAAUCGGGCACCGGACAGUGUCCGGUGUGCACCGGACUGUCCGGUGCGCCACGAGACAGAAGGCAAAGAUGGCCUUCCAGAUUUGUUCCCAACGGCUCCUAGCUGCCUUGGGGCUAUAAAAGGGACCCCUUGGCGCAUGGAGGAGUACACCAAGCAUUCCUACAACUCUUCUAAGCACCAAGACAUCAAUCUCACGCAUUCGUUUCAUUGUGAUAGCAUAUAGAGCUCUUGUGGAGUUGUGAACUCUUUGUGUUGCGUUGCGAGCCCUUGUUGCGACUUGUGUGCGUGUUGUUGCUCUGAUUUUCGAGUCUUGUGUGCGUUGCUCAUUCCCACCUUACUCCGUAUUCUUUGUGAACUCAAUUGUAAGGGCGAGAGACUCCAAGUUGUGGAGAUUCCUCGCAAACGGGAAAAGAUCAAAGGAAAGAAAAACACCGUGGUAUUCAAGUUGAUCAUUGGAUCACUUGAGAGGAGUUGAGUGCAACUCUCGUCCGUUGGGACGCCACAACGUGGAGUAGGCAAGUUUUGUACUUGGCCGAACCACGGGAUAACCACCGUGUCAACUCUGUGAUUGCUUUCUUGUGGUUAUCGUGUUUUGAGUUCUCUCUAGCCACUUGGCCAUACUUGUGCUAACCCUUAACAAGUUUUUGUGGCUUAAGUUUUGAACUUUUACAGGAUCACCUAUUCACCCCCCCCCCUCUAGGUGCUCUCACUACUUCGCGCCAACGGUCACCUGCAACAGCAAUUAAUGCGCGCCAGAGCGCGCAGAAGUCAGGCACGCGCGUAGUGGCGCACCGGACACUCUACAGUACAUGUCCGGUGCGCCACCAGACAUCCAGGCGGGCCCAGAAGACAGAGCUCCAACGGUCGAAUCCCAACGGCAUUGGUGACGUGGCUGGCGCACCGGACAUGUCCGGUGCACACCGGACUGUCCGGUGCACCAUACGACAGACAGCCUCCACCAACGGUCAUGUUUGGUGGUUGGGGCUAUAAAUACCCCAACCACCCCACCAUUCAUUGCAUCCAAGUUUUCCAGCUUCCAACCACUAUACAAGAGCUAGCAUUCAUUGCAAAGCACACCAAAGAUAUCAAAUCCUCUCCCAACUCCACACAAAGCUUUAGUGACUAGAGAGAGUGAUUUGUAGUGUUCAUUUGAGCUCUUGCGCUUGGAUCGCUUCUUUUCUUUGGCAUUCUUUCUUGUGAUCAAACACUCACUUGUAAUUGAGGCAAUCGACACCAAUUGUGUGGUGGUCCUUGCGAGAAGUUUGAUUCCCAAGUGAUUUGAGAAGAGAAGCUCACUCGGUCCGAGGGACCGUUUGAGAGAGGGAAAGGGUUGAAAGAGACCCGGUCUUUGUGACCACCUCAACGGGGAGUAGGUUUGUGAGAACCGAACCUCGGUAAAACAAAUCCUUGUGUCACACUCCUUAUUUGCUCGAGAUUUGUUUUGCACCCUCUCUAGCGGACUCAUUUUUAUUUCUAACGCUAACCCGGCUUGUAGUUGUGUUUAUAUUUGUAAAUUUCAGUUUCGCCCUAUUCACCCCCCCUCUAGGCAACUAUCAGCGACCGCAACCACGGCAGCGAACUGGGUCGCGACAGUCAUGAACCCGGUGGUCCGCGGUGAGGCAGCGAAAAUAGCGGGAGGGGGCGGGUGGGAGGCGGAAGGGGUGGCGGGGGCGGUAAGGGGGAGCUUUGGCGGGAGAGAGCAUCGCGUUUAAAAAGGGUUUGCAGCUCCCAGGGGAAGCGGCUGUCGCGAUACGAGCGACAGUCAGGACGGGAGGGGGCAGCAAAGAGGGGGCAGGUGAGACAGGACGUGUAAUUCCUCCACUGUCGGAGACCGCAGCGCUGUCAGACAAAAACGUAUCCCUGGAGAUCUCGCAGUGUCCGGCCACAGUAGAGGGGAUGGGCGACAAUGACGCGGGCACAGGGCGGGGGGUGGUUGGGCUGCAUUGAAGACACCAUCGUCAACCUCAGAAGACCUCGCGAGGCAGGCAACCGCGAGCACCACCGAACCCAGGGAGUGGUGCGGGAUGAGCACAGAUGAAGCUAAGACAAGAGGACCCCCAGUCACAAUGACGUUCGCAAUGUUCUGACUGGCAACCGAAACCCUGAACACCCAUGGACGCAUGCACACGACACUGAGGCGAUCCGGAUACACUGAGAGAAGGUAGUUCGCCGCGUUUCGGACGAAGUGGGUGUUGUAGUGGGGAAGAAGAGACGAUGGGGUCAACCAGAGAUGAGCCAGGUUUUGAGGGCUAACCGAACCUGGGGUGGCGGUGGAGUGGAAGUUGGCGAGGAGCCAUCCCUGCAUGCGGGCACCUAGGCGGAGGAGUGCCCCUGAACCUAGCGGCACAGCACCGGCGCGCGAAGCUCCAGUGGGUGGUAUAGCGCGGGGCGUGAGGCCGGGGUGGGUGGACGGGGGGCAGGUGGUGGUGGCCGGUGGUCGGUGGCCGGCGUCGGGCGGCUCCGAGCUGGAGUCGCCUCCGCGGUCGCAAGGUGCGCUCGUGGAGCUGCUAGCCAUCCGUGUAGAUAUAUAAUUAAGCGUUCGAAGUUGGUUUUUCAUAAUUGAUAACGAUGAUCAUUUAAUGACAAAUUGAUCUAAAGCAAAACCUAAACCCUAACGUCAGUGGUGGUUACUGAAUAUAAAAUCUAAGCAUCUUCAUACCCUCUGAACGCGCCCCCUAACAGCCUUCAAGACAUUACACGAGAGUAGCUUGAAAGAUUUCGGAUGCUAACUUGUUUUGAUUAUUAUUGUUGACUCUGAUGAAUUUUAGACCUCAAACCAAAGCCAUUAUUUAGAUUAUGAAAUUAGAUUUUCAUCUAUACAUGGAUUAUAAAAAAUGGAGUUUAUACACAUCUUGAGUGUCCAUUUUACUGCAGGCAAUGUAGACUUGAACUUGAGUUGGACUAGGCUUCCGAUCAGUAGCGAAUACAAGCCCUGGAUCAUCCGGUUUGUGGCACGAGGCAUGGCCCAUGCACAUCUAGUUAGUUUUAUUGUAUUUAGACUAAAAUAUAUUCAAAGUUCAAUAGAUCCAAUAGACUGUUCUAGGACAUGAUGGGAUUAGGGUUGGCAAUGGGUCGGAUUCGGGUCGGAUAGAGCAAAAAUCCACCCGCGGUCAUACCUUUGAGGCCUAUCUAAACCCGCCCGCGAUCGCACCCACGGGUGCAAUUUCAAACCCACAUCCAAACCCAUUGGGUUUCGAGUCACCCAUGAGUUUUUACUCAUUGUACACUUUUAAAUAAUAAUUCAACUAUAAGCAAUUAAAUACCAGCAAUAAUUAAAUUAUAUCUAUGGAUUUAAAGCUUUGUUGAGAAGCAACAAACACUUCAUGAAUCAUUAACCAAAUUACUUAUUCAAAAUAAUUACUAUUAUAUCUUAAUCAUUAUUGAGCAAAAUAAUGAAUAUACCAAAUUUCGGAUCGGAUGUGGGUCACCCGGAAGUUGAAAUAGAAACAGGCACCCACACCCGCGAAACUUUAGGUCGGGUAUAGAUUCACCCGCGGGUCAAAACCUUUACCCAUUCAUGCAUCCAUCGGGUCAGGUACCCAGGUUUCGGGUUUGCUGGUUAAAUUGUCAUUCCUAGAUGGGAUCCUAGAUCUGUCACCGCUUCCGGCUGGUUUUAAACGUCAUGGUUGGACUCUCACCUUUCUCCAAAUAUUUCGUGACCCCCUCCAAUGUUACCAAGACAAUAUUAUUAGAUAGUAAUAUAUUUUUAAAACUAUAAAAAUCGCUUAGGAGUGCACUUAACUUUUAAUUUAAUUGUCGUGUUUGAGGUUAAGUUAUUAAACCUUAUCUAUACUUACUUAAUCUAUAAGAACGUAAUGUUGGCACCUGGUGAUACCAGAUCUUCACCUUCUGUCAAGUCUUCACCCUCCGUUACCACACCGUGCAAAAAAUACUACAAAACGAGUACUCGAACUCACACACCUUCUUGAUCCAAAUAUUUAGGGGUAAACAUCAAACCACACAUACCUUAGUGUUUAUAAAUAAACAAUAAUUAUAUUUGAAUAAAUAUCUCAAUGCCUAUUUAUCUAUACUUACUUUAUUAAUAACCUAAUGUGGGCACCUGGUGCUACCACAGCUUCACCCUCCACGUUGACACUCUGGCCCGCCCCACGCGCUUCGACUGGUUCUCCCGUCCCCCUCUAAGCUACUGCCCUGUGGACACGCUGACACUCUAGGCCCGUCCCUCGCUCUCUGCCUGUUCUCCCACCCCUCUCUCAGCUACUGCUCUAUGCAUCCCAGCACUUCUCCUGCCCCUCUCUCAGCUACUACCCUGUGCAUCCCAGCACCCACACAGCCAGCUACUGCGCCUGCUCAGCACCCGACCCCACCCACGCAGCUAUCACACCGUACAAAAAAAAGUGCAAAGCAAGCACUCAAACCCACACCCUAGCUGAGAAAAUUUGGGGCUAACCAUCAGACCACACGUACCUUAAUGUUUAGAAAUAAAUAAUGAUUAUAUUUGAAUAAAUAUCUUAAUACUUAUUAAUAUGAUAUAUAAAAACUGUAGCAAAUCACGAGCAACUGGCUAGUAUCAAUGAGUGCACCCAAAGGCUUUUGUCAGCAAGGUUGCAAACUGACUAUUUAUGAGUUUCAAGGAAUAAAAUAGAACAACAUCCUACUAAAAUUUUAUGUUAAGACAACGGCAUACACUGAAGGUUAUCUUAAGAGGCCAGCGCAAACCAAAACUAACAUCCAAAAUCUACCACUGAAACUGAGAACAACAACUGAACCACACAUGUACAAGCCUCGGCUUAAACCUCAAACCACUGCCACAUACAGCUAGCUAAUCCACGCCAGUGGCAUCUGGCAACUCGAUAUCGGGGAUGAAAAACAAAAUGCUACUUGCGUCUGGAAAAGCUAACUCCUCCCAACCUUCCUCUCUUUUGUUUCAUCACUUUGCAUCUUCAGAAAAGCCCUAGACAUGUUCAUUCGUCUUGUGGAUGGAAAUAUGAAACAGCACCGUUGCCUGAUCUGUCCUUGUGUAAACCUAAGAGAUAAAUGGACAUGCCAGGCAAAUGACCUCAGUAGGAGAUCUAACUAAUUUGUUUUCCAAAACAAACAUUAUUCGUUGGUUUCCAAAAGGCCUAGCAAUGGCAACAAAGCCUAACCAUGUAAAACUGCUUUCUGGUUUACUGUCAGCUCUAACCACAAUCGACGCAAGGCUUCAAAAUAGACAUUAACCAGCCGAAGCAUUAAGUGGCAAAAAUAUUCAUCUUCCUCACAAGUUGUCAAUUUAUUCUUCUCAAGAGUUAGCUCAGAUCAGCUGGAUUAUUACUCCACGUGUAGUCUGAAAAUUUCUCUAAGUUAAUGGUUAUGAUUAGAUGAAACAUGUCAGUAUUUCUAGUCCCCGACCCACAAACUUAUGUUUUGAAGCUUAAUAUAUUGAGACUUUACCUAAGCUUUUUAUCAUGCUGAUGCAUAGAACUCCAUAGUAACAAGAUCCUCCAUUUGAACCUCUCCAAAUUUAACAUCACAGAGAAUUCUCCAGAUUCCCUCGGAGAAAGGCAAACAGUUCAAAGCUUAACUAUUGAGAUUGGAGGUGAUGCAAAGCGUUCCAAUAACUAACCAUAUUUACAUCUAGCACAAUUGUCUGGGUGGUGUAGUUGGUUAUCACGUUAGUCUCACACAUUAAAGGUCCCCAGUUCGAACCUGGGCUCAGACAAUGUUUACCCAUUUUUUUUAUUGUUCAGUCAUCUCUUUUUUUUCACAUCUUAUAAUUUGUUUUUGUUCAGUCAUCACCUUUGUUCUUUUCUUUCUUGUUCAGUCAUCACUUCUGUUCUUUUCUUGACAUCUAGUAGUAUUUGUUUUUGUUCAGUCAUCACCUUUGUUCUUUUGUUUCUUUUUUGUUCCUGUACUGUACAGUAUUUAUCAGUCAUCGUUUACCCAAUUUUUUUGUGUUCAGUCAUCACUUUUGUUGUUUUGUUCACAUCUAGUAGUAUUUGUUUUUGUUCAGUCAUUACCUUUGUUCUUUUCUUUCUUUAUUUUUGUUCAGUCAUCACUUCUGUUCUUUUGUUGACAUCUAGUAGUAUUUGUUUUUGUUCGGUCACCACUCACCACCUUUGUUCUUUUGUUUCUUUUUGUUCCUGUUCUGUACAGUAUUUAUUAGUCAUCACUUCUGUUCUUUUGUUUCUGGAAGCGCAAUAUUUUUUUUCAUUCCCGUUUUGGGCCUCAUUAGGUCAUCACUUCUAUGAGCUCAGUAAGCGGGUCCGAAUUUUUUGUUUUUUAGCCAUUUUUGUCACAAGAAUUUACACUUAGACCUUGGAAAAUUUAUUUCCCGUUUUGGACCCGAUACUCGGCGCCGAGGUAACACAGCUCGGCGCCAUAGGCUAUAGCGCGGAGCUCUUACGUGGCGCUGGCAGCUCCCGGCGGCUAGGGCUGGCGUGGCGUCGACGCGGUGCCGAUACGGCCUCGUAGCUCGGCGCCACAGAUCUUGGCGCCGAGCUACGAAGGCCUAUAAAACGGCCGCGCGGCUGGUCGAGAAGAGCUCAUCUCCCCUCAAUUCAAAACUUCGUCAAAGUUGCUCUAUUCAAAGUUUCGAGUUGGAAUACUUCGUAGACCAAGGUAUGGAGUCUCACUGAUUCGUUUUGUAUAUUGGGUUGUGAUUUUUUGAUUAUUAGUUUCCAUUGUUGCUCCUAGAAUAUAUAGUAUAGUUAAUAUGAUGACUACAUUUGAUUUGAUAGUUUGUGAAAUCCGAUUAUAAAGUCUAUUAGGUACAUGUGUUAAUUAUAAUCGUUUCUUAGAUGAAAGACAUGUACCGGGAGGCAUUGUGGCAGAAGAGAGGUCGUCCUCGGGAGUUAUAUCCGGACGUAUCUAGUAAGGAUGCUCAUGAUCCUUCUAAACUUCCUGUGCCUAACUGUGACUGUGACAAACUGGCUUGGGUAUGUCAAUCCAAACAUCCAGACACGGCUGCUCGUUGUUUCUACCUUUGUGGCGGUUUUAACGUACGUAACUUAUGACUUGUGACUUAAUAUUGUUUACUAGAUGUGUAAUAAUGAUUCGUUCCAUUGUUUUAGGAGCACACUGAGGUGUUUUUUCCAGUGGAUCGACGGUUAUGAUAAAUUUGACCCUCGAUAUCUUCUUUUCGCUAAUUGGUUGUGUGGAAGGACUAGUCAUGAGCGUUUUAAGCGUUGGGUACCACCUCCCCCAAAUCCUCCACCAAUGACGGAUGCGGAGAAGGAGGUAGCAACAGAAAGAAAAAUGGACUUGCCGCCUCGAUGCGAUUGCGGAGAUCGUGCUGUCAUCGACGAGGAAUAUGUGCUAACUCAAUACUAAAAUACUAAACACUAAACUAAGUAAAUACUAACUAAAUGCUAACCACUAACUAACCACUGACUACUAAACUAAGUAAAACCCUGCUAAAAAUGCUAACUAAUUUCUAAAUAAAACCGCCUUACCUUGCGAUGGCGUUACGUGGGAGACGACGACGGUCUGGCGAACAGGCGGGUAGAGCGCGGGAGGAGGAGCUCGGCCGCGGGGGAGGGGCUUGGGCCGCAGGUUUUUAGGAGCUCGGGCGGGACGGGGCAGAUGGAGGAGGAGCUCGGCCGCGGGGAGGAGGAGCCCGGGCGGCGGCGGCGCGAGCUCGGCGGCCUCUUGACCGCGGGGAGGAGGACCGCGGCGGCGGGGAGGGGGAGAGCGGCGGCGGCGCGACUGGACAGAGGGAGGAGACCGGGAUGGGGCAGAGGGAGGAGCUUGGCCGCGGGUGGAUGAACGCCGGCGGAUGCAGCAACGAUGGAAGCGGGCGGCGCGCGCGGCGGUGCGUGCUCGGCGGUGGCGAUGAGUGAGAGAUAGAAUGGAGAAAGAGAAACUGGGACUAUGGCAAAAUCCUAACUCGGCGCCAAGAUCUAUGGCGCCGAGCUAGGGACGCCACGUCGGAGCCACGUCAGCGCCACGGAGCCAGCGAGGUAGGUUCCUCGGCGCCAUAGUCUAUGGCACCGAGAUGUGUUAGCUCGGCGCCAUAGGCUAUGGCGCCGAGCUAAGGGUCCAAAUUAGGAAAUAAUAAGUCUUCCAGGAGUCUAAGUGUAAAUUUUUGUCACAAACAAAGCUAAAAACCAAAAAAAAUCGGUAAGCGGGUCUGGUAGUUCAAAACAAAUGAUGUCGUGUAACUUUGUUGCACAACAUGUUACAUGGAAUCCCUCAACUGAUCGACUGCCACUAUGUGAUAUCGGGAAGCUAAUACCUAACGUAUUUAUUUUAGGAAAAAACAUUUAAUAAAAUAGUUUUGCAUAGUAAGAUGUGAGACAAAGGAUUAGGACCAGUAUUUUCAGCAUCAUCCGCCAUCUAAAUAUUCUAAAACACAUGGGUUUCCUUGCAAAACAGCAAGGCCACAUCAACUCAGAAAUCUCGAUCGUUGGAUCGUCAACCGAUAAAUCUUCAUCAUUGGAUGGAGGCUCAACAAUCAUAUGACGAUACUCCAGAGUCUUCUGGUAUCGGCAGCCCAUGGAAGAGUAAAAGCCAAUAAAGAACUCUAGAAAAGGGCGCCUCAGAUCCAGACCUCAGAUCCAUAUCUCUAAUCCUCUCUGCUUCGGUGAGAUCCUUCGCUAGAUAAGGAAAACCCCAGAGUAGGAGCUACAGAUCUCCAAAAUCUCCAUUCUCAGUCUGCAUCGGCGAGUUCCUUCGUAACCCCUCUGCUCCCUUGCUCCCGUCAUUGUUUUGGACCAGCUUAAAAGUCCUCUUGUAUAUAUGGUUUUUUCAGCCAAAAAAUAGUCUAAAAUACAUUUCAGCCCAAAAAUAUGGUCCAAAAGACCUCCUGCUUGCAGCGAUUGAGUCUGGUGUUGGCGGGCUCCCUCAUUCGCUCGUUUUAAAUGGUACUACUCUGCUCUUAAUAUUUAUUGUCCGCUAGUUUAUUUUUUAAACUAAAGCACGACAAAUAAAAACCAGAGUAGUACAUCAUUAUAUUUGUAGAGUGGCCUGGGACGUUAAUUUUAGAGAGCUCCGCCACUACUAACAGAAACACGAAAAUUUCUUGCAGGCAAUCAAGAACAAAGAACCAGAUCAAUCGAUUCCAUCAAUAGUUAUAUCAAGGUAAAUACACUCUUUCUAUCUAUCUUAUUUUAAUAAUCAUGUGCUUAUUUUCUCUAUUAUUUCAUAAAUUCCAUAUCUAAUACGAUCCCACUUCACCGAAUCUCAAAAUUGGGCAGACCAUCCAAUAGAAAACGUAAAAUAUCAAGUAUUAGUAUAAAUAAAGAACAAGCUUUAGAAAAUAGAUAUAAAAGAAGAAACCUCAAUAUCUAAAAAAAAUGCAUAUUUAGCAAUUCCACAAGGAAUAGUUUAUCUAUCACCUGAAUAUAUACAACACCUGAAAGAAACAUAUAUUGAAAGAUCAUACUUUGGAAUGGCAAACUAUACAUGUAAAUACUGUAGUGCCAUAUUUUGGUCUCAAGAGAGUCUCAAACGUGCAUCAAAUUACAAAGACAAAGAAUUAGUUUAUACAAAUUGUUGAAAACAAGGCAAGAUUGUCAUUCCAGCAUUUAAAGCACCACCUGAAUUUUUACCAAAUCUUCUAAAAUAUAAUGGAGAUAAUCGUUCUAAGAAUUUUCUUAAUAAAAUCAGACAAUACAAUAGUCUUUUUUGCAUUUACUUCCAUGAGUGCUAACAUAGACAAAUCAAUAAAUCGUGGACAAGGACCAUAUAUAUUUUGUAUUAAUGGUCAAGUCCAUCCUCGUAUUGGAUGUCUACUACCAACACACAAUAAUAGACCAAAAUUUGUCGAAUUAUAUAUAUAUAUAUGACACCGAGAAUGAAAUUUCAAAUAGAAUAGGUGCCUUACAAGAGGAUGAAAAUGACAUAGAUGACAUUGACCCAACAAUAGUUAAAGGCUUAAUGGAAAUGUUGGAUACACACAACCCUUUGGUACAAAAAUUCCGUUUCGCUCGAGAUUUAAUUAAAGAAAAUAAUGUUAUAGACAUCAACAUUUGUAUAAUUGGAGCUAACAAAGGUGACCCUAUUCAGUAUGAAAUGUCUACCGUUGAUGAUCUUGCAAUGUUAAUUGUAGGAGAGUUAACAUUAGAAAACUACAAACAUGAUAUUAUAAUUUAUAAAAAGGAUCAUGGUCGACAAGAAAUAUCUAUCUUACAUCCUGCACUUCUAGCAUUACAAUACCCAUUACUAUUUCCGUAUGGUGAAAGAGGUUACCAACUUGGUAUAUAUUACCAUGAUACAAACAAUGAGAAAAAGAAAAAAGGACGAAAGUAACAAUGCAUGAAUUUUUCAAAUAUCACAUGCAUUUUAGACUAGAUCAACCAAAUCCAUAUUUAUGUUAUGGACGAUUAUCAAAGCAAGUAAUAGUCGAUUGUCGAACUUUAGAAGAUGAAGAUAGAUUACGAUUUAUUGCUAAGAAUCAAAAUAAAUUACAGAUAGAAUAUUUACAAGGAUUAGCCGAUGCAGUAGAAAAAAGGCGUAGUACAAGGCGAUCAAAUUGGAAAGAAAGUAAUUUUACCAUCAAGCCACACAGGUUGUAAACGAUAUAUGAUUCAAAACUACCAUGACAGAAUUUGCCUUAUGUUGAGUAUAUGGACCACCAGAUCUAUUUAUAACUUUCACAUGUAAUCCUAAAUGGCCAGAAAUUGAAUCCAUGUUAUUAGAAGGUCAAAAACCAAAUGAUAUUAUGUACAAUAUUAAAUGAUAUAAAAUAAGGAAUUAUAUUUGGACCAGUCAAUGCGAUAUUAUACUCAAUAGAAUUUCAAAAACGAGGUUUACCGCAUGUGCAUAUCUUAGUGUGGCUAGAUAAAAGAAAUAUCGAUAUAACUAUUGAUAUAAUUAAUCGUUUUAUCUCUGCUGAAAUACCAAGUUCAAAGGAAGAUCCAUUGGGAUAUGCACCUGUAGCUGAAAAUAUGAUACAUGGACCAUGUGAUGUGGUGGCAUGAAUCCAAAAUGCACCUGUAUGAAAAAUGAGAAAUGCUCAAAAUUUUAUCCAAAAGAAUUUCAAGAAGAAACUACAUUCGAUCAAAAUGUCUUCACAUUGUAUAGACGUCGAGAUACUGGUAUUUAUAUUAAAAAGGGUGAGUAUAAUUUAGAUAAUAGAUGGGUUGUCCCACAUAGCAUAUACUUACUCAAAAAAAUAUCAAGCUCAUAUAAAUGUAGAAUAUUGCAAUAAAAGUAGAAUUCUUAAAUAUUUAUGAAAAUGUGUAAACAAAGGUCCUGACAAAGCUAGAAUAGUUUUUCAGCAAAUAAAAAAGGGAAACUAUACGUUUAUAUAUGAAAACAAUGAAGAUAAUGAAAUACAACAAUAUUUAGAAUGUAGGUACAUAUGUGAACUAGAUGCGAUUUGGAGAUUACUUGGCUUCUAAAUACACUAUCAUUUUCCUUCUGUGGAACGUCUACCUGUUCAUCUACCACUCAUGAAUAACAUUAUAUAUAAAGAAAACAUUGAACUUAAACACAUAUUAGAAAAUCCAAAAACACAAAAAAAAUUGUUCACAUGUAAAUUAGACGAUCAAAUCAAUCUCACUUUUGUUACAGAAUUGCAACACCAAAUCUGAUACUUUCAAUGUUUUAUAUAUAUUCUAUUGCAAUGAUGACGCAACACACAUAUAUUCAGGAGUUCAAAGGUCAUUUGGUAUUAUGGAAAUUUAAUAGUCAAGAAGCAUAAACAGUAAAUUAGAUCUCCAUUCUUUUCUACCUUAUAAUGUUGCAUAAUUAUAACUCUUAAAUUCUAAUUAAAUGUGUUAUAUCCUAUCUCACUUCUUAUUUUGACUUACAAAUCAACACAUGUCAUGAAGACCACUUUUGAGCAACGAUCGUAUGCCUUUUCUUUUGGGCAGAUUUAUCAUAACUCUUUUGGAACCACUGAAGAAUAGAGUUGUUAAUAAAUCAUCAAUAUUUUAUUGUAAAACACAGUACUGCUUGCUAUCAGGUUGCUAACAAUGGAGUGUCUGUAAUAUUUUGGAAGAACAGAGAAAUCAAUGUGUGCUAUCACUCUUACUAUAUGCUCAAACACUAUCAAUGUAUAAACCCCUUGAUGUAUAUAGUGGGUUUUUUUAAAGAGUGAUAUACUUAGUAGCUUUUGCUUAAUCACUGGGACUAUUAUCUAUCACUCCCAACUUCGACAACAAAACUCUUUUGCAAUAUACAUAGCUACAUACUAUAUAUUCAAGUAGCUACCAAUAUAAAAACCAGUCUUUUGUAAUAUACAUAGCUACUUACUAUAUAUUCAAGUAGCUACCAAUAUAAAACCCCUGAUGUUAUAUACCGUAACUAAAAAUAUAAAUUACACCAAAAAAUUACAAUAGAAAUAAAAAGUGUGCGCGACAACGCCGCGCAAAAUUCUAGUCUACUCUACUCCCUACGAGAGCGGGCUGUAAAAAAUUCCACUUGAGUUGUCAUAAAUGUGGCCUUAGACCUUGUUUGGCUUGGCUCCGGCUCCACUGAUUUGGGCUCCAACUCCAAACUCCAGCUGAAGCCCACUCUAGCUGGAGUUAGAGCUGUCUGGAAGGGGUGUUUAGCUAGCUGGGUAUUCUUAGUUCCAGAAAAGUGAAUUUAUAGGUUGUAUUGACAUUGUUGCUCUUGGUUGAUUGAGUGCGCUUUAAUAUGAUUGUGAUACAUUUUUUUAGCAAAAUAUUUUUGUACAACUAUUUUUUCAUGAAUAUGAAAUAAAAUGUUAUUUGACAGAAGUUUAUAAUAUAAAAUAUGACAUGUCCAUAGACUAGAACCGAAUAGCUCAUAGUAUAAAAUGUUCAUUAUUUUUUUCUAGUUCCACGAAAAGGCAAUAGAUGUAGCCAAACUAUCAUGAAAUGCACACAUGGUCACAAAGCUUAAUUCCGAAGUCGAUCCAUGAGACACUGCAUACUUGUAUCUUUCUAGGAUAGUAUGAACAAAAUGUGGAUCACUGUCAAAAUUAGCAAAAUCCUCAUCCUCACUCGCAUGUUCGCGAAUGAAGUUAUGAAGAACCAUGGUGGCAGCAACAAUCUUUUUUUGUGUGAGCAUGGAAUAGCUCGAUGUCAUAUAAAUGAUUUGCCAUUUCAUGUUCAAUACCCAAACGAGCGCUUUAUGACAUUACAAAUAGACGAGUGCACUCGAUUGAACUUCUCUUUAGGAGUACUUCGUAAGGGAACAUGAGAGAGAGGCGUAAGGGAACAUGGCACGGUAAAAAAAGAUCGAAUCUUUUUUAUGUGUAAAAUGGCAUUGGUGUGUAAUUUUCAUACAAGUCCACGUCUUUAUUCACUUUGAAGAGUUUUGGAGCUGUGAAAUAGUUACUCCACCAAAAUGAACAAGAGCUCGAGGAACUCCAUGGAAUUAAGGUGCUCCAAAAAAAGAUAGAGUUGAGUUGUUUGGCUGGCUCCACUCAACUCCACCAUAGAGUUUGAAGUUGGAGCUAUGCCAAACAAGGUCUUGAUCUUCGUUGAUGUGUUCAUCUCAAAUAAUUACGCAAGUAAUUUGGAUAACUGAGAGCGAUGGUAAUUAUUACCAUAUGCAAAUUAAAUAGGCUAAUUACAUGGGUUUCCUUUUUGAUAAAUUAGCAACGAGGGUUCUCUUUACCUUAUUAUUAAGAAAAUGAGGAACCUAGGAUUGUGCGAUCGGAAGAGUGGCUUCUCUUUUCCGAAUUCUGAACCGGGUCCACGAGAAGCUGUAGAAGCAACGGGAAGAUCCCUGCUGCGUGGCAUCGCGACUCGCGGCCGACACGCGGGCCCGGGGCGCUCCAGUCCACUCCACGCCAAGCCAGCCUUUGCCGCGCGCCAAACUAGCCGUUGCGCGCGUCGCCUUGCCAGUUGCCCCUCGUCCCCGUCUCCUCCUCAAACGGUCGAAUCCAAUGCAUGCCGCAACCUCCAUUUAAACAUCUCCCCCACGCCGUUCCUCCGCACCACACUCCACUGCUCUCCUCCACUCCACUGCCUCCCAUCCCUGCUGCUCCCUCUCCCAUCCCGGUUCCAUCAUGGGCGGCCUCUCGGUGAUCGCACCGCCCGCGCGGGACUCGGCUUCCCCGCAGCACCGGCGCGCGCGCCGCGCGUUCCUCGUGUCCAACUAUCUCAUCCUGGGCUGCGCCUCCGGGUGCGGCUUCCUCACGCUCUCGCUCCGCCUGGCCCCCUCCGUCGACGGCUUCCUCCUCAUCCUGCUGCACGCGCUCACGGUGGCCGCCGCCGUGGCCGGGUGCGCCGUCAUCGCGGCGCCGGACCCUCCGCGCGGCCGCUGCUACACCGUCCACAUGUCCGCCACCGUCGUCGUCUCCAUCCUGCAGGGCGCCGCCGCCGUGCUCGCCUUCUCCCGCACGUCGGAGUUCCUCUCCGACGGCCUCAAGUCGUACGUCCGCGAGGAGGACGGUGCCGUCAUCCUCCGCAUGGUCGGCGGCCUCGGCGUCGGCAUCUUCUGCCUCGAGUGGGUCGCGCUCGCGCUCGCCUUCGUGCUCAGGUACUACGUCUACGUCGACAGGGAGUGCGGCGGCAACCCCAUGCGCCGCAGCGCCAAGGUCGGCGGCGAGGACGGCGCCGGCACCUGGCCCUGGCCCUUCCAGGUCUGAAGUGGACCAUGAGUUUUUGGAAGGGAAAUCAAGCGUCGAGUGUUAUAGAACUAUGUGGGGGGACGGGAUGCACAAUGUUGUGAUUCGUUUAUUUGUUUAUUAUGUGGUUUUGUAAUGUCAUAUUUGUAACGCUGUUAUAUUUAUAUAAUUAUAUAUGUGAAA